rnacentral:tRNA from 1 species
GGGCCUGUAGCUUAGCUGGUAGAGCGUCUCAAUGGCAUUGAGAAGGUCGUCGGUUCAAGUCCGAUCAGGUCCA